rnacentral:rRNA from 1 species
CGAUACGUAAUGUGAAUUGCAGAAUUCAGUGAAUCAUCGAAUCUUUGAACGCAUAUUGCGCUCUUUGGUAUUCCGAAGAGCAUGCUUGUUUGAGUAUCAGUAAACACCUCAAAGUCCUUUUUUGUUAAAAAGACUUUGGACUUGAGCAAUCCCAACAUUUUUCUUAAAGUGGCGGGUUGCUUGAAAUGCAGGUGCAGCUGGACAUUCUCCUGAGCUAAAAGCAUAUUCAUUAGUCCCGUCAAACGGAUUAUUACUUUUGCUGCAGCUAAUAUAAAGGGAGUUUGACCAUUUUGGCUGACUGAUGCAGGAAUUUCACAAGAGUCUUCAAACCACUCUUGUUAAACUCGAUCUCAAAUCAAGUAAGACUACCCGCUGAACUUAA